UGGGAGCAAAGCUUGCUCGUGAUGGCGCAAUGUCAGUCGGUAUCAAUGUUGACUGAUCCAGCGCUAUCGCGAGCAAGCUUUGCUCCCA
rnacentral:misc_RNA from 1 species